CAUGCACACCAUGUAGCCACUACAGGUGACAGCUGGCUCUCCACCUCACCCCUGUGCGCAUCUCUGCCUAUGCUGUCAUUGUCUUCAGAUGUAGGUCCCCUAAAGAUGAUGUCACCCCCAGACAACAUGAAGUAAUUUUAAGAACAUGAGACCCACAUUCCCAAGAGAAGAAGCAGAGCGAUAUUUUAAGAAGGUAACUCAAGAGCUGAUGAAGAAGCCACAGUGGAAUCAGUGAUCACUUGUGAGACUGUUCAACCAGACACAGCAAGGAUGGGAACAAAGAGGCAGAAUCAAAGGGAGUUGUGAGGAGACUCAGCUGCACACCCCAUACCACACACCUUCUCUGCCGAAAUAGAUUGUACCUUCUCAAACCCUGUGAAGAUCCCUAGAGCUGAUUCUAGCACAUUUCAGCAAAGAAGGAGUUUCCUGGAACUGGCUCAAAAAGGCACACUGGUCCAUAUACGACUGGAGCAGCAGCAAGGUGAAGUUUUGAAAAGAUCUCUGCUGCGUGAGUAGCCAUAGACUCCCAUGAACCACACUCACGAGAGUCAUUAGAUUAUACACUGAAGCUUGUUCAGAAGAAUAGCUCUGGGUUAUAGGGGAGAAACUUUGAUUUGGAACUGCACAGUAUUCAAUAACGCAAAAAUCUGGUCAGAGCCAGGCUUUAGAGGAAAAUAGACUCAUAUUCUAAGUGGUGCACAGGGCAGCAGGAAAGUUGAGGCCAACUUUGGCAACCUGACUCAUGAAAACAGGACCAGUAUCUGAGAUCCAACUUUACAAAGUUGAGGUGGGGCCAGCAUUCAAGGCCAACUCUUGAAUGACUGCCCACUGACUGCUUCAGCAUCUGUGACCUUUGCAAAAGGUUACCCAGGGAUGUGACAGGAAUUUGGAAGCCUGGAAAGAAAAAUCAAAGAGAGUGGAGACUGAUAUCAGCAAGUAGGUGAGACUGUAGUCAGACUCUACUCCUACCCCGUUCCCUGUUAACAUCCACUCCCCCUUUAUUUAACAGCCAACACCAAUUGUAGAAAUCAACAGCAGGAGACACUACAGAAUACGUGAACUAUGGGAGACUGAAUGAUACACCACUGAAUGAUGAAUGGAUCAUUGAAGAAGUCAACAAGGAAAUAAAAACAUCCUUAGAAUUAAAUGAAAAUCAAAGUACAACAUUCUAAAACCUAUGGCGUACCAAGAAAGCAGUCCUCAGAGAAAAGUGUAGAGCCACAGGCGCCUGCAUUUAAGAAGUCAAGGUGCUCUCAAAUAACUCACUUACUGAUGUGCCUUGGGGUCUUAGAAAAACAAGUCAAAUCCCAAACCAUCGAUGGAAAGGAAUUAUUAAGAUCAGGGCAGAAGUUAAUAGAGUGGAAAUUAAAAACCACAAACAAUACAAAGAAUCAAAGAGUUGGUUCUUUGAAAAGAUUAAUAAGAACAGCAAAGCCUUAGCCAAAGUAAGCAAAAGAAAGAGAGAGGACCCAAAUUAAUAAAAUUAGAGCUGAAAAGGAGGCAUUACAGUGAAUACCAAGGAAAUUCAGAAAAUCAUUAGGACACAAACAUUCAUGUUCUAUUAAAUUGAAAAAUCUAAAAGAAAUAGAUGACUUUCUACAUGCAUAUGAGAUAAGUAAUUUAAACAGAUCUAUAACAAGCAAUGAGAUUGAAGCUGUAAAAAAAAAAGAAAAUCUCCUAGUUAAAAGGCAUCCAGUCCCAGAUGGAUUUAUUGUUGGAGUCUCCCAGAUGUCUGAAGACCUAACAUUCAUGCUUCUCAAUCUAAAUGCUCUCAUGCAGUCUAGUGAGCCAC